rnacentral:rRNA from 1 species
CAGCCGCCGCGGGAACACGGAGGGGGCUAGCGUUGUUCGGAAUUACUGGGCGUAAAGCGCACGUAGGCGGCUUGGUAAGUUAGAGGUGAAAGCCUGGAGCUCAACUCCAGAAUUGCCUUUAAGACUGCCGAGCUAGCAGGUGAGAGAGGUAAGUGGAAUUCCGAGUGUAGAGGUGAAAUUCGUAGAUAUUCGGAAGAACACCAGUGGCGAAGGCGGCUUACUGGCUCAUACUGGACGCUGAGGUGCGAAAGCGUGGGGAGCAAACAGGAUUAGAUACCCGGGUAGUCCCUGUCUCUUAUAC